CUGACUCGAGCUGGGCUCCAGGCCGCAGGAGCAGGACACUGACUGGGAGCUUCCUGGGGGCUGCUUCUACUGGAAGUCCUCUGGGAAGCCAAUGAAACAGUCCCCAAGGCCCACAGAGGAGGAACAGAGCGGGGCCAACUUUAGGCACAUGUGGAAGACAAGUCAGCAAGGGUAGGCUGGGCCGGUGGAGGGCACGGCAGGGAGACAGAUGAGCGGGCAUCACAGGUCCUCAAAGCGGAGACCCAAAGGCACCUGGAGCUCUCACCCGAGGGUCAGAAUCCUGGUGCCUUUGUAGGAACAGUGUGGGACAGGAGGCAGCGCUUGGUGAGCAGCAUGCUGGCGGGAGAGACUUCUUUCCAGAGCCGGCUCAGCACAUCGGGUCCAUGCAGAUGUGGGCACUGGGCGUCCUCAGGGGUCUCCCAAACGGAACUCAGAGGUGUGUGCUGCAGGCGAUGGCAGGCAUGCGGAGCUGGGACCGCCACAGGGUAUCCCUGGAGAGCACACGUCACAGUCAGUGGGUCAUGGCCAACUCCAGGUGGAGUGGCCCUGGGCAAGUGACUACAUCUGGGUCUCAGGUUCCUGGUCUCUGAAAGGGGUACUAAUAGCCCCUGCCAUAGAGGGAAUCAGGUGAUCCAGUGCCUGCUGUGGAGCUAGAAAAUAGAGAAUGGCCACAGAAAGUGCAGGCUUCCUCAGGACUGGUCAGGUGCAGGUGUUAUUUUGUCAAUGAUAUUGUCUUAGAUAAAUACAUUUGCAAGGAUGAAAAUAGCAGUUUAGGGGUUUUUGAGCCACUUGAAAAGCACAUUGUUGUUUCUAGAGCAGUAGCUGUACCCCUCCUAACUGCUCCCCUGGUGUCACACACUCCAUGGACUUGAGUGCAGCACCUCUGCAGCAGCGCUGCCCCGCAACACCCAAACCCCCAUCAGUGCCUUCCUCAGAGCAGCCUGUGCACACCCUCUGCCCUCGGGGCUAGAGUUCCUGUCUCCUAGGGCACCUGUGCCUCCGUGAGCCACCUGUCCCCUCCAGAGCCUCCGGAGGUGGCAUCUCCGUUUCACCAGUGGGCAGCAGGGCAUAGGGAAUGGCUCAGCCAUGGGUCCAGGCUUGCUCCACAGCGCAGGAAGGCCUUGGUGGAGCCUAGUGCCGCUCCCUGCCCUCUAGCCCAGCUGCUGCAGGCACAAGGCCUCUGCCUGCAGGGUGCCCAAGCAAGCAUUUGCCUUGGCUGCAGGAUGCCAUGCAGCAUGCCGCAGAGUCGCGGGAUGCCGAGCUGGCCCAGAAGUUGCUGCAGUGGUUCCUGGAGGAAGGCAAGAGGGAGUGCUUCGCAGCCUGUCUCUUCACCUGCUAUGACCUGCUUCGCCCAGACAUGGUGCUUGAGCUGGCUUGGAGGCACAACCUCGUGGACUUGGCCAUGCCCUACUUCAUUCAGGUGAUGAGGGAGUACCUGAGCAAGGUAGGUGCCUGGCCGGCUGCAGCUCCCUGGCCCCUGUGUGGCACGACCCAACCCUGGCAGUGACUCUGGCCUCAGGUCUUAAGGGUGGGCCCCUUUGAGGCCAACCCAGAUUCCCCAGCCAGCCCUGGCUGCCUUCAGGAGUGGCUGCUUUCCUUCAUGCUCAAGUGGUUUUCUGCCCAACAUUAAGCCCCUCCAGAAAAUCAUCAUGGGGAGUGCCCACUGGCAGCAGCCCUCCUGCAGACUCCGGCUGGGCAGCUGUCCCAGUGUGCGCACUGCUGGGAGCACAACAGGCAUGCUCGUCCCCAGCCCUGGACUUCAUCAGGGUGACAGUGAGCUGGCUGGCAAUCCCAGCUCCCUGAGGAGCUCCCAGUGGCAUCUGGGGGUGCAGCUGUUAGCAUACGGUUGGUGGUAGCUGCCUUUUGCUGAACACAUAGUAGGAGUAUUCACAGAUGCACUGAAUCCUUCUAACAGCUAUAGGGAGGAUUACUCUCUGCCUCAUCAAAGUGACAGUACCUGAUUGUAAAACUCUCCCUGGGUGUUGAAGUCCUAGGAGUCCCUGCUGGGAUCUAGCUUUAGCCACUGUCCAGAGACCUGUGUCAGCAGUGUCAUCUGGUACAGUUUGUUGUAUCUAACACUGGAAAAGCCACUUCCAGUAGCAUCUACUUGCCUAUCUAACCUCCUUCAAGCCAGAUGGAGACCCUCGGAAAGCACUCAUGCUGAAGCAUCACUCAGUGGAGCAAGGGAAGGGAGGGGCCUCCCAGGUGAGUGGGAGGUAGGAAGGAAACAGGAAGGCGGGCUCAUGCUGCCAGCUUUAGCCUGGAGGGCUGCCUGCCGCCUGCAGAGCCUUCAGGGGGCUGCCCAGCCCCUGAUAAAGGCCAUCCCAGAGGCCAUUCAAGGCCAUUGCCCUCCUGUAGGAUAGUGUGACCCCAUCCCAUCUGCAUAGCAUGCCUGAGUGACACUCCCUGAUGACUCUCAAGGGGUGGGUAGGAAGGGACAGCUCUGGUUACGUGGCCUGAGAUUCGUGGGCUGCCGGGGAACAUGGACUGGUUGGACUGACAAGGGCCCUGGUUCCCCCACCACAGUGGAUGGCAGCUCCCUACAGGCGGCAUGUGUGGUAUGUGGUUUGUGGUAUGCAGUGUGUGGUGUGCAGAGUCUGGUGCGUGCCUGUGGAAGCUGCUGUCACCAUGAUGAGUGGGUUUUCCCAUCCCUCGGGUGUCUUUCCUGAAAGUAGUCUGUGUUCUGAGAACCAGCAAAAGGAAAGAAAGUGCUUGAAUCUCUUCCUGGCAGUAGAGGCCCAUGGGUUAGUGUCAGAGGAACUCAGGCUCACCAGGCCCUAGGGAUGUCAUUGCUGUGGGGGUCAAAGUGCUUGUGGGGAUCCCCCAGGACUUUGAGGCGCACAUUCCCUUUCUGUUGUGGAUGAUGGAGUUAGCAGCCACUAUCACGUUGGUCCACACUGUGGCUGCACAGCCUUGGCCCAGGGUUCCCAGACUCCACUGGCCCUGGGAAGUGGUGGCUGCUGCAGCACCUUCUCUGCUGCCACCCACCUAUUCCUGCUGGGGCAGAUGAGACACCUGUCAUGGGGAGAGUUCAAGGAGAGGAGGGGGCUGGCAAGGGGUUUCCCAGUCAGUGGCAUGGGGGUGUGAGCUGAUUGUCAGCUUGAGCUGGCACCCAGCUGACUCCACACAGCAGUGCUGGGAGAAUGAGGGCACGGACAAGAAGCACAGUCCCUUCCUGGUGGACAGCUGGGCCCGGGGCCUCGUGGCUCAUCUGGGAAGCUUCAGGGCCAUCCCUCUGAGAUGCCCCCAGUGCUCUCCCAGUGUAGGGAGGGUACAGGCCUAGCUCAGCCCUCACCCUAGGUGUCAGCAAGUGUGCCCCUUGCUCCCGCCUCAUUUCUCAGCCCCCCAGACCCCAGCUCAUGGGGGCACAUUCUUACUUCUCUUUCUUACUCAGUGUGUUUGUGAGGGGAUCCUAGCUGCACAGUUGCUGCCGCUCCUCUAGUGCACUGCUGCCGCCUCACUCUCUGGCAGUGGGUGGGGUCAGUGCCUGGUGAAGCCUCAGGGAAGAGCGAGGAGGCAGUUUGUCCUCAGUGCUUCUCAGGUGAAGUGUCUAGGUGCCAGGUGACUUGUCUCUGAGAGCCACAUGAUCUCUCGCUGGUUUGGAGGGGCAGGCAAACUAGACUGGCUGGAGUCAGAAGCAGGCAGUGUUCCCUGCACAUGGCCCCAGCCCUGCAGGUCAGUAAAUGGCAGUGUCCCUGUAUCCAGAGGAGGACUUGGCCCCCCAUGAGCAGGCCACACCCACAGCCUGUAACAACUGACUGCCCCAGUGCCCACUGGGAAGCUCUGGGGGCCCCACCUGGCGCUCCCUCUCAGCCCAGCUACUGAGGCUUCACCUCUCCAUGCCUUGCUGCAUUCUAAAGGUGCACGGGGUGUGGGCUGAGCCACUCCACAUCUGCCCAUGUGCCCCUCCUCCACUGUCAUUCUCCUGGAGGCCCUGUGUCCUGACCUUCCACUCCACUUUCACCUAGAGGCCGGACUGCACUCUGUCAAGCGGGUGCUCACAUGCUUUCGCCUCCUUGCAGGUGGACAAACUGGAUGCCUUGGAGAGUCUGCGCAAGCAAGAGGAGCAUGUGACAGAGCCUGCCCCUCUCAUGUUUGAUUUUGAUGGGCAUGAAUGAGACCCAGCUGAUUGCACUAAGCCAGCAGCUGAUGCUGACAGCAGGCCCUGCCAUCGGCCCAGCCCCUGCCAGCUUCCCCUAUGGAUAUGCCUCUGCUCCCAACUUCGCCAGCCUCCAAUGUACAACUUCCGCGUGUAGUGGGCGCUGUCACCACCCACCCUACCUGCAGAGUUACUAACUUCUCCAAGGAGCGUGUCACUCCAGCAGCACAGGGGAUGCAGUGGGAGGCAGGGACACCUGGACAAUAUUUAUUUUUGCUGAAACCCAAUGAUGGCAACCUCUGAGCCAUCCCAGAGCCUGGGGAGGCCAGGGUAGAGGCUGACGGCGCAAGACCAGCUUUAGCAGACAACAGGGACUGGACUGUGGGCCCUCCUGCUGGAGCCAGGCAUUCCUCCUGGGCGCCCCCGACUGGCUGGAGCUGCCCCCUCCAGGCCAGUUUGAAGACUACAUGAACACAUCUUGUUUGGAGGUACCGGACCUCAUAACAGGACUCUGAGCCUCUUGGCAAUCACAAAUAUUAAAGUCGGUUUAUCCAGGC
rnacentral:sRNA from 1 species